rnacentral:lncRNA from 1 species
AAUACUAGAACCUAUAGAUACUAAUCAAACAGAUCCUUAUGGAAAAAGAAAAAUAGAGUUAGAUCUUCAAAAUGAUGGUUAUAUGAGAUCUUUUAGUAAAGAUUUUGGAAAAGUUUAAAAUACAACUAGAAUUUUUAGUAAUAAAACAUAAAAUAUAGCUACAAUUGAAAUAAAAACUUAAAAUCUAGAAGAAUCAUCUACUCAACCAAUUCCAUAUAGAAUAGAUGAUUUAAAUAAAAGAAACGUUGCUCAAGGAGGAAUAUAUUUAGAUUUAACUAAUAUUCUUAUAGCAGACUAUGAAAAAAACCAUAGAUGACUGGCAC